rnacentral:rRNA from 1 species
GAUCAUGGCUCAGGACGAACGCUGGCGGCGUGCCUAACACAUGCAAGUCGAGCGGAGACAGGGAGUAGCUUGCUAUGAACUGUUUUAGCGGCGGACGGGUGAGUAACGCGUGAGCAACCUUUCCCAGACAGGGGAAUAACACACCGAAAGGUGUACUAAUACCGCAUAAGACCACGGUUUCACAUGGAACUGAGGUAAAAGAUUUAUCGGUUUGGGGUGGGCUCGCGUCCGAUUAGGUAGUUGGUGAGGUAACGG